GGAUACUCCUACAGUAAGGGGCAGGAUAUUUGAGCCUUUGGGCACUGAUCUAAAGACACAUUUUGUACAUUUUCACGGGGAUCUGUUUGUCUUUUGCUCCUGUGUGGUUUUUUGAUGCUGCAGAUCCCUCUGAAGCAGUGGGCGAAAUACAAACAACAGCUGGGGCUGCCCCGAGGAUGAACAACUGCACAUCAAAGCCCUGGGGCUGUGCCUGCAGCCAGGUGGGAAUGGGAGGGAAAAAUCCUAAAGGGAGGAAAGAUCCCUGACUCUGGGGGAGCACCAGGAGGGUGAAAGGACACGGGAGCCUGGUGGGUUCUCCGUGCCUGGAGUGUUGGGAAUUCUCUGUCCCAUCUGCGAGGGAAGGACAGCAGCUGCAUUCCGCUUUUUAUGAGUUAGAGGAAAUUGUUGAGCUUGGGAAGGCUGACUGCAGACAUUGUUUCUCUCUCAUACAUAGGAUAAUCUCCAGUGAUUACUUUUUCCUGGUGCAUUUCCUGUUGGGCUGUCCAGACUGGAGGCUGUGGCAGAUGCAGGAGUAAAUAGAGCCCCUCCAGAAGUGGCCAACAAGGCUGAUACCACAGAAGAGGAUGAUGAGGGAAACAGAGAAACAAAAGGAAGAGGCAAAGAGGCUGAUUGAUGAUCCCCAGCUCAUUGGGCCAGGAGCUUGGAUGUUGUUCCUGCGGGGCACCGGAGCCCUCCAGCCACAAAUUCCAGUUCCAGAGGAGCUGGGAAGGCGGACCAGGCGCUUUCCUGGGAUUCCCCGUGCCCGGUGUCUUUUCGGGAUGCGACCGCCAGGUGACACCAGAUCCCUGAUGCUGGGGGAUAUCCCGGGAAUUCCCUCUUUUCCCGGGAAUUCCCUCUUUUCCCGGGAAUUCCCGCUUUUCCCAGCCAUUCCUGCAAUUCCCGGCCAUUCCUGCAAUUCCCGGCCAUUCCCGCACCUUUGUCUCUUUUUGUCUGGCCAAACUAAGCCUUGGGAAGGUAAAACCACUUUGGUUUAUAUUUCAGACUCAAUAAAAUGAAAGUUGCCCAGAAGGUGGCUACAGAGAUGGAACUAAACUCCAAAUAUUGAACUUGCUGAAAAGAACCCCUCAAUUCGUGGUUUCAGAGUUCCCUAAGCCAGCACAUUUGUUUUGGGGGGCUCCGUGGAAGUCCUGGCUCCUGAAAAAGUCUCCUGGUCUGAAGGAUGUUUGUGAGGGGAACUUUGUAGAGGUUCUUUCAACCCAUCUGCCCUUCAUAUCGCAGGAUUUCCCAUCUUUGUGGAAAGCCUUUUGCUCCCAUCCUCCUAUCCCUGGCUUCCCUGGGUGUUUGUGCCACAGAAUUCCUGCAGGUCUGCAGCUGGAUGGAUUCUGCUCCUCAGGGGUUUGUACCUGCCCUGAGCUGGUUCCUGGUUCCUCUCUCCACACCUCCUGCUCCUGUGACAUUCCAGGUGUUUGAGGAACAUCUGGAAUUUUACAGGGCCUAAAGAACUUGGCUACUGAAAGAAACAGUGUUUCCUCCUCCACAAAGGAGUAAAUACCACAUUACACUCUUCUUCCACUUUUCUGCUCUCUUCACUGAGAGUAGAAGCUGUUGAAGGAAAAGUUAGUUGGGAACACCCAUGAUGUUUUAUUUCAAAGAGGUCUUUUUAUUCACCAGUUUUAUCUCAGAGCCAAAAAAGAAAUGGAAAAUAGAAAAUAGGAAAAAAAAAUCAGUUUUCUGAUGCCCAGUUUGUGACAAUUUUUUCACUGAGUUCAGAGAUGUUCAUUGUGUCACAAAACAUAAAACUGUGCUUGACAGAGUUCAAGCUUCCCAUGAUCUGAUUCAUUGGUGUGGGCCUCAAGCUCUGAGCAUCCCCUCUCUGCUUCACUUUGGAUGUGUCACAAGCUGCCUUUUCACCCCUGGGAAUGAGGGAUGGCAAUUUUCUUCUUCCAAUGUGUGGUUUAUUUAGACUAUAAAAACAUAAUCUCCCACAUAAUCUGUGUGUUUUUUUACAACUGAUUUUGUUUCAGUGGACGUCCC
ensembl:lncRNA